UGCCUUAGAAAUCCGUGUCGAGAUUUCGUCAAAAACCAGGCCGUCAGGACUGGUGAAACUCUCAAGAUAAGUGCAGCU
rfam:Schistosoma mansoni strain Puerto Rico chromosome 4, complete genome